rnacentral:rRNA from 1 species
GACGAACGCUGGCGGCGUGCUUAACACAUGCAAGUCGAGCGGGAUCCAACCGGUGGCAACACCGGGGAAGAUCUAGCGGCGAACGGGUGAGUAACACGUGAGCAACCCUGCCCCGAAGACUGGAGUAACACCGGGAAACCGGUGCUAAUACCGGAUGUCGUCAUUAGGCCGCAUGACCUGAUGAUGAAAGGAUUCAUCGCUUCGGGAGGGGCUCGCGGGCUAUCAGCNGUUGGUGGGGUAACGGCCUACCAAGGCGACGACGGCUAGCUGGUCUGAGAGGACGACCAGCCACACUGGGACUGAGACACGGCCCAGACUCCUACGGGAGGCAGCAGUGGGGAAUCUUGCGCAAUGGGCGAAAGCCUGACGCAGCAACGCCGCGUGGGGGAUGAAUG